UACAGAGGAGCCAAGCGUUGUCCGGAUUGACUGGGCGUAAAGCGCACGAAGGCGGGCGCGCGCGUGGGGGGUGAAAUCUGGCCGCUUAACGGCCAGGCGCCAUCCCAUACGGCGCGACUGGAGUGAUGCAGAGGUCGAUGGAAUUGCCGGUGUAGUGGUGAAAUGCGUAGAGAUCGGCAGGAACACCCAGGGGGAAACCAGUCGACUGGGCAUCUACUGACGCUGAGGUGCGAGAGCGUGGGGAGCGAACCGG
rnacentral:rRNA from 1 species